GACGAACGCUGGCGGCGUGCUUAACACAUGCAAGUCGAACGGAAAGGCCCUGCUUGCAGGGUACUCGAGUGGCGAACGGGUGAGUAACACGUGGGUGAACUGCCCUGCACUUCGGGUUAAGCCUGGGAAACUGGGUCUAAUACCGGAUAGGAGCUAUUUUUAGCGGGAUGGUUGGAAAGUUAUUUCGGUGUAGGAUGAGCUCGCGGCCUAUCGGCUUGCUGGUGGGGUGAUGGCGUACCAAGGCGGCGGAGGGUAGCCGGCCUGAGUGGGUGGCCGGCCACAUUGGGUCCGAGGGACGGCCCAGACACCUACGGGAGGCAGCAGGGGGGAAGAUUGCACGAUGGGCGCAAGCCGGAUGCAGCGGCGCCGCGUGGGGGAAGACGGCCUUCGGGUUGAAGAAUCCUUGCGCAAGUGACGAAGCUUUUUGUGACGGUACCUAGAGAAGAAGCACCGGCUAACUACGUG
rnacentral:rRNA from 1 species